UAAUGUAUGGGGAUCUGCCCGAUAGAGGGGGAUAACUACUGGAAACGGUGGCUAAUACCGCAUAAUGUCUACGGACCAAAGCAGGGGCUCUUCGGACCUUGCACUAUCGGAUGAACCCAUAUGGGAUUAGCUAGUAGGUGGGGUAAAGGCUCACCCAGGCGACGAUCUCUAGCUGGUCUGAGAGGAUGAUCAGCCACACUGGGACUGAGACACGGCCCAG
rnacentral:rRNA from 1 species